rnacentral:rRNA from 1 species
UACGGAGGGGACUAGCGUUGUCCGGAAUUAUUGGGCGUAAAGAGCUCGUAGGCGGUUUGUCGCGUCUGCUGUGAAAACCCGAGGCUCAACCUCGGGCCUGCAGUGGGUACGGGCAGACUAGAGUGCGGUAGGGGAGAUUGGAAUUCCUGGUGUAGCGGUGGAAUGCGCAGAUAUCAGGAGGAACACCGAUGGCGAAGGCAGAUCUCUGGGCCGUAACUGACGCUGAGGAGCGAAAGCAUGGAGAGCGAACAGG